GUGUUAAUUUACGUUUUUUGAUUGAGUUAAGCCUGCCAAUUGAUAUUUUAUCGUGUGUUUUUCUAUGCUGUGAUGUUAUGCUAUUGUUUCAGAAAAAGGUAGAAGGUUUGGUACCAUUAAAACGUUUAAUCCCGCUGCAAAUGUUUGCACCUGUCCUAAGUCAGGAAUCUGAUGUACAGUAGUUGUCGGUUUGUUUAUGUAAUUUAUACGCGUUUCUCGUUUCUAGUUUUUUUUUUAUAUAUAGAUUAGACCGUUGGUUUUCCCGUUUGAAUGGUUUUACACUAGUAAUUUUGG
rnacentral:lncRNA from 1 species